UACGGGGGGGGCAAGCGUUGUUCGGAAUUAUUGGGUUUAAAGGGUGCGUAGGCGGUCUAUUAAGUCAGUGCUGAAAUAUCCCGGCUUAACCGGGAGGGUGGCAUUGAUACUGAUGGACUUGAGUGCAGUCGAGGUAGGCGGAAUUGACGGUGUAGCGGUGAAAUGCUUAGAUAUCGUCAAGAACACCGAUAGUGAAGACAGCUUACUAGGCUGUAACUGACGCUGAGGCACGAAAGUGUGGGGAUCAAACAGG
rnacentral:rRNA from 1 species